rnacentral:rRNA from 1 species
CGCUGGCGGCGUGCCUACACAUGCAAGUCGAACGAGGGCUAUACCUGCUUGCAGGAAUAGACCGAGUGGCGAACGGGUGAGUAACGCGUGAACAAUCUGCCCUAUGCAGGGGGAUAACAAGUAGAAAUAUUUGCUAAUACCGCAUAAGGUCACAAUGUCGCAUGACAAAGGGACAAAAGGAGAGAUCCGGCAUAGGAUGAGUUUGCGUAUCAUUAGCUAGUUGGUGAGAUAAAAGCUCACCAAGGCGACGAUGCAUAGCCGGCCUGAGAGGGUGAACGGCCACACUGGGACUGAGACACGGCCCAGACUCCUACGGGAGGCAGCAGUAGGGAAUUUUCGACAAUGGGCGCAAGCCUGAUCGAGCAAUGCCGCGUGAGUGAUGACGGUCUUCGGAUUGUAAAGCUCUUUUAUAGGGGAAUAAAAAGUAAGAUAGACUCUUACAUAUUGACGGUACCCUAAGAAUAAGCCACGGCUAACUACGUGCCAGCAGCCGCGGUAAUACGUAGGUGGCAAGCGUUAUCCGGAAUUAUUGGGCGUAAAGCGUGAGUAGGUGGUUUGUUAAGUCUAUAGUAAAAGGCUAUGGCUCAACCAUAGUAGGCUGUAGAAACUAAUAAACUAGAAUACGGGAGAGGUUAAUGGAAUUUCAUGUGUAGCGGUGGAAUGCGUAGAUAUAUGAAGGAACACCCAGUGGCGAAGGCGGUUNAACUGGCCCGAUAUUGACACUAAGUCACGAAAGCGUGGGUAGCAAAUAGGAUUAGAUACCCUAGU